rnacentral:lncRNA from 1 species
UUGAAUUGACAUUCUCAUCAAAAUAAAGUUGAGCUUAGUUAACAAGUUGAGCUAGAUGGAAACUUACAUUAUUAAAGCAAUUUUCUUUUCUUUGUAAUGAAAUUUCCCCAAUUCACGACAACAUAUUUCAUUAUUUCUUAUCAGUGUUUCUCAACCACUUCUUGACCUUCCUCUGUAACAUUCUUCUUCUUGUUUGCAGUGUAGCUCCCGAAAAGACUCUCCAUCUCUUCCAAAGGUAUACCUCGUGUCUCUGGAAGGAAAGUAAAGAAGAAGACCCAUGCAGCAGCAGCAACUCCGGCAAAGAGAAGGAAUGCACCACCGAUGGUUAGACCUUUAGAAAGCGAUAGGAAUGUCAUUCCGAUAAUACCACUCAUUAAUCUAUUCAACAUCACUCCCAAACUUGCCCCUUGAGCUCUUAGCCUCACAGGGAAUAUCUCUGAGCAGUAGACCCACGUCACUGGUCCUGCACCUAUUGAGAAUGCUGCUACAAACGUCAUUACCGUCGAAAAUAAAAAGCGACGAGUCUAUUGAAGAACGUUUUCCCCUAGGCGCGUGAUGAAUAUAUCUUUGUAAGGUUUUUAUGUUCUUGUCAAUUAAAAAAUAGCAUCAGUUAGGUUGAAUUGACAUUCUCAUCAAAAUAAAGUUGAGCUUAGUUAACAAGUUGAGCUAGAUGGAAACUUACAUUAUUAAAGCAAUUUUCUUUUCUUUGUAAUGAAAUUUCCCCAAUUCACGACAACAUAUUUCAUUAUUUCUUAUCAGUGUUUCUCAACCACUUCUUGACCUUCCUUUGUAACAUUCUUCUUCUUGUUUGCAGUGUAGCUCCCGAAAAGACUCUCCAUCUCUUCCAAAGGUAUACCUCGUGUCUCUGGAAGGAAAGUAAAGAAGAAGACCCAUGCAGCAGCAGCAACUCCGGCAAAGAGAAGGAAUGCACCACCGAUGGUUAGACCUUUAGAAAGCGAUAGGAAUGUCA